GACCUUUCCGGCUUCCGGUGGUUAGAGUGUCCGCCUCUGAUGCAUGAGGUUGUGGGUUCGAUCCCCGGCUGAGUCA